UUUGAAUAUUUACACUGCAGCAGGCAGCUAUGGUAAUGGGCAUUACAUUUCCUGACCAGCUGCCAAUCACAACACACACUGGCCCAGUUAACCAAUCACAGCACAUUUUGUAUUUCAGAAGGCGGGCCUUCAUUUGAUACAGGAACUAUUCAAGCCUUUCAGCCAGACUGGGGAGAAGUGUUGUAAUAAUUUCAAAUAUGUGGAAAAUAUUGUGUUUUCAAACAACCUGUUCUACAGCCCCAAAACAAAAGAAAGACUUUUCAGGCAUAAUAGGACCUCUUUAAUAAUGGACCUCCUAAAAACCUUUUUGACUUUAUAUUGCAUUUUAGAUCACAGAUUUGUGUGUCUGAAAUAGACCUUAAGAUUUGACCUCAGUUUAGCAACCAUUUCCUGCACUGGAAAUGAAGUAAUCAGGAAUACCAGACUUGUCUUAAAAUAAAAUGUAGUUUAUAAACAUUUUUUUUAUGCAAUAUUACAUUAAAUUGGCUUAGAGCUGUUUAAACCAAAACAUAUGCAAGUAAAAGAACACACACACACACACACACACACACACACACACACACACACACACAAGUUGUUGUCUGGCUAGCACUUCCUUUAGACUCUUCAGAGUGCAUCACAUUAUCUGAGGCACUGGAAGGAAGAAUCAUGCCACCUACAUCUUUUACAAUCUUUAUUUUUAUGUGUGGCUUUUAUUCCAGAUUUCAUGCCAUCGUUGUCAAAGUUCAGCGUGGAUCUGAUGUGUCUUUGCGAUGUGACGUUCCUCUCCGGUCUAAUUCCUCCACUUUGCAUUGGGAGAAAGAUGGAGAACAAACACCCAACAGCACUCUGAUGUACAACACCUCUGCCUACAUUAUCUUACACACCGUUGAUAAACGCAGUGAAGGGAAAUAUUACUGUAAAUUGAUGCAAGAUGGAAUCGUUCAAACUGUUAGGAUUCACACACUUAAUGUUAUUUCAUAUUCAGAUGGAAAUAGUAAAAGUCAAAGCAUUUCCAGUCAAAGCUCCAGUCAAAGCUCCAGUAAUACCAAUGUGUCACUGAUCUGCAAGUCUCCAAUGGAGUCUCCUGAUGGUGUGUUGAGGAUUCAGUCAGUGGAUCUUACCUGUGAAGUUUCUGAAGUAAAUGAUUCAGUGACGCUGGUCUGGCUCAGGAUGGAGGGGAACAGAGGAGUGCUGGUCAAACAGCAAAAUAUGACUAAGAAAAACACCAUGUUACGUCUCACAGUGAAUCUAUCCAACUCUAAAACAGACCCGCUGCACUGGCAGUGUGCAGUUUUUACUGAGAAUACACUCAGAGCUCUGGUCCCUAUAACAAUCAAUUGUACCUCAAACAAAGGUAACAUUUUCAUCCAUUAA
rnacentral:lncRNA from 1 species